GCCACUUCGCUACCGUGUCACAAUGUCAAGCACCACUGUGCUCUCUUGGUUAAUCUGUUUUCUCUCUCCCCACGCCAACGUUCAAAGUUUUGUUAUUCCAAGAUUCAUAUCAGCAGGUACUGCUGGAAGACCAUAUGACUUUGGCAUUGAAGCUUCUGUAUUUGUUGGUUUGUACAUCAAAAGCAUUCUACUGACUUAAAAUGACAAAAUAUUAGAGAAAUAGAUGGCUUAUAAAGAGUAACAUUUCUGUGAUAACUCUAUAAUCUUCUAUUUCUCUUUUGGACACAAGCUCAUUCCUUGCGGAUAUUGUCACUAUACCUCAAUUUAUAAUAGCAAAGCUUUGUUCAUGUUGGGCUCGGGCAAAGCCCGGGCUACCCUUACUAGUUCUAAAUAUAUAAAAGAGCGCAGAAGUUGCUCACCGUCGACAUCCCUGCUUAGACACAUGGGUAUUUAAGUAUUUUCACAUACCUUCUGUGUCUCCUGCCCUUACAAGUGUGCUGAAUUUUGAGUCCAAAAUGGAAUCCGUCUUGCUUGGAGGAAGAAGCUGGAGAAUUGAAUGUCUGACUGUGCCCGGAUAUCCUACACUUUUUCAGUAGUUAUGAUUAAUAAAUACUUAUCUUUUGAUCAAUCAGAAUACAUGUUUAUGUGUGUAAUCCCAAAUGACGCCUCUUCAGAUGUUGGCAUUAUCUCUAAAAUGUGAUUUAUGAGGAAAUAAAGUGCAAUUGGUGAAAAGAGCAACUGAAGGAGCGUUUUGUAAUUUAUUCUUCACUUAAUUUCUCUCAUUAUUAACACCCUGUUUAUAUCUCUGUUUAAAUUUCUUUUUUCAGUGCAAAAUUGGAAAGUUGAAGAAAAUGAGUGGAGAUCAACACAUGGAUAUGCAUUACAUGAACAAUAUGGGGUUUAUUCCGUUACCAUAACAUAAAAUACGUGUACUUCAGCUGAAUAUUGUACUUUUUGUACUGAGAAAUAGUAUUUGUCAAAGUGAAACAUACUAUAGUUGGAAGUGUUUGUUCUGCCGCUCGAAAAGAGUAACGAGCUUUUCUGCUUAUUCCAUUCUUUCAUUUUAUCCCAGCCAUCUCUCAACCCAUUAGCAAGUAUACACUGCUAUACUUUCAGCAGAGAAGAUACCAACUCCAUUCAUAUGCUGACAUGUUUUUUCAUUGC